AACGAACGCUGGCGGCAGGCUUAACACAUGCAAGUCAAGCGCGUAGCAAUACGAGCGGCAGACGGGUGAGUAACGCGUGGGAAUCUACCGAGCCCUAAGGAAUAGCUCCGGGAAACUGGAAUUAAUACCUUAUACGCCCUUUGGGGGAAAGAUUUAUCGGGGUUUGAUGAGCCCGCGUUGGAUUAGCUAGUUGGUGUGGUAAAGGCCUACCAAGGCGACGAUCCAUAGCUAGUCUGAGAGGAUGAUCAGCCACAUUGGGACUGAGACACGGCCCAAACUCCUAAGUGGGGCAGCAGUGUGGACUAUUGGACAAUGGGCGCCAGCCUGAUCCAGCCAUGCCGCGUGAGUGAUGAAGGCCAUAGGGUUGUAAAGCUCUUUCACCGGUGAAGAUAAUGACGGUAACCGGAGAAGAAGCCCCGGCUAACUUCGUGCCAGCCGCCGCCGUAA
rnacentral:rRNA from 1 species